rnacentral:rRNA from 1 species
UACGUAGGGUGCAAGCGUUGUCCGGAAUUAUUGGGCGUAAAGAGCUCGUAGGCGGUUUGUCGCGUCUGCCGUGAAAACCCGAGGCUCAACCUCGGGCCUGCAGUGGGUACGGGGCAGACUAGAGUGCGGUAGGGGAGAUUGGAAUUCCUGGUGUAGCGGUGGAAUGCGCAGAUAUCAGGAGGAACACCAAUGGCGAGGGCAGAUCUCUGGGCCGUAACUGACGCUGAGGAGCGAAAGCAUGGGGGAGCGAACAGG